rnacentral:misc_RNA from 1 species
UAGUCUUGACAUGCACGGAUUAACUCGCCGAAAGGCGAGCCAGGCCUUCGGGUACAACGUGCACAGGUGCUGCAUGGCUGUCGUCAGCUCGCGCUGCGAAGUGUCGCGUUAAGUCGCUUAACGAGCGAAACCCUUGUCACUAGUUGCCAGCGGGUCAUGCCGGGGACUCUAGUGAGACUGCCGGUGUUAAACCGGAGGAAGGUGGGGAUGACGUAGGGAAUGUCGAUA